rnacentral:rRNA from 1 species
GUAGGUGGCAAGCGUUGUCCGGAAUUAUUGGGCGUAAAGCGCGCGCAGGCGGUUCUUUAAGUCUGAUGUGAAAGCCAACGGCUCAACCGUGGAGGGUCAUUGGAAACUGGAGAACUUGAGUACAGAAGAGGAAAGCGGAAUUCCACGUGUAGCGGUGAAAUGCGUAGAGAUGUGGAGGAACACCAGUGGCGAAGGCGGCUUUCUGGUCUGUAACUGACGCUGAGGCGCGAAAGCGUGGGGAGCAAACAGGAUUAGAUACCCUGGUAGUCCACGCCGUAAACGAUGAGUGCUAAGUGUUAGGGGGUUUCCGCCCCCCUUAGUGCUGCAGCUAACGCAUUAAGCACUCCGCCUGGGAGUACGGCCGCAAGGCUG